rnacentral:lncRNA from 1 species
CGGACUUUAAAAUAAUUUUUCAGAAUUUAUUUGGUAUUUUUAAUAAUUAAAAUCUAAUUUUUCUAAUUUUUAAACCAAUUUCUGAAAAAUAAUAAUAAUAACCGUCGCUAAAGGCCCCUAUAGUGACAGAAGCGUCGCUAUAGGUGUUCUUCACCAACCCAGAUUUCAUAAGGCAGUUAGCGAGUAGGCACGUUUGACCGAGUAUAACUCUCUCAUCUGAACGAAUUUGGACAAUAUAUAAAUUGGAUCUUGUAGACGAAAUACCAGACUACAAUUAUCAACAAUCAUAACAUUUAAAAAACAUCAGAUCUAGGAGAAAUCAGCCAUCAAAGUAGCUUCCAAAGCUGUUCUUCACGAAGAACAGUUUGAGGUGCUUACUUUGGACCUCUAUAACUUGAUGAUCGUGUAAUUAUUUGGUGAUCUAUCAACUCAUGUGUGUAGACAACAUGUAGGACUAUAACUUCAAACCUUAACAUCAUCAUAAAAACAUAAUAUCUAACCGGAAAUCGUUGGUCAAAAUGCAACACGAAACUUGUUCAUGAAAAAUCUGGUUUCGCUAGUUUGGCAGAUUUGGUCAACGGGUUUUGACCGCUUAUAUCUCUCAAUAUAAAACUUAUCUAGACUUGUUUCUUUUUUUAUCUUAAAGACCACAUAACAAGAUACACAUACCAUCUUUAAAACACCACAAACAGUAAAUAAUCACAGAGAUAUAAGGCUUCACAUUUGACCAAAAAUAACAGAAUUCGGUUUUUCAAAAGUUGGAAAAACUUUGAUUUUGAGCACUUUGAUGUUAUGGGUCAUGAAUUUAACAAUCCAGAACAUUAAUAGACUCUCUAUUACACAACUUUAAACAAUCAAUUGCAUCAAUUAACAUCGAAUCGAAGGAUUUCUAGAAUUUAGGAUUUCCUACCUUUUCAAGCUUGAUUUUUGAUUUCUGGCUUCUUGAUACUUCUGAUUUGUGGUUUGUGAUUGUUGGUCUUUGAUUAUGAGCUUAUGGGUAAGAUAAUUUCGUUGGCUAGAGGUUGAGAGAGUGUGGCUAGAGAGUUUAGAAAAUAUUAGUGUGUGUUUUCAUUCAAUCUC